UAAUGGCGUACGAAACAGCUUGGGAUCGGCUCGUUCUUCCUCACUUUGAUCUUAUAGUAGCAAGAAUGACUCCCAAAUGUUUCUUGGACAAGCUCGUGGCGAAGGGUCUGAUCAACAGACGAGAGUACGUUGAGUUGAAAGGCCAGACAGCAGCAGAUCAAGUGCGCACGCUUCUCAUUGAGUGGAUGCCGACCAGAGCACCGACUGCGUACGAGGAGUUUCGUCAGGUACUCAAGGAUACGCCAGAACAGAGCUAUCUCGUUGAUCAGUACUUUCCAGCAGAUGAGAAUCCAAAUGAUCAGAGAGAUCUGCAACACAUACAAAAUGCUCAAAGUCACAUGGUAUGUGAUGGUCAAAGUCAAGAGAGACACAACGGCAUCAAUCGACAAGGCACAAGCAUCACAACUCGAAGUGAUGCUUCGACCAAUGCCCAACACUUACAUCUUUCAAAAGACGUUACUACUGAUGCUUUGGGCACAACAUUGACGGAUGCGAGUGGCAUGUUGACAGAAACAUUCGCAAGAACUUGUACUGUAAAGUAAAAAACAAAGAAGACCAAGUAGCUAUAUAUAAGAGCUUCUACAUCAUUCUAAAUGAAACAGACAAAAUUUCCAUAGCAAGGUGAAAAGACACCCUUCAUAUCUUGCAAACAUAGCUAAUAGGAGAAUAGACCAUCUGAUCAAUGUGCUACUGAAAAUAGAAGAAAGCGAGUUCUUAGAUUCUCAGAAGAAAGAGCACUGGAAUUCAGCCAACCGUUGGACACAAAAAGAAGAGUCACGACAUCACCGUGCAGUGAUGAUUAGUGACACCGAUGUAGAGGAUUGUGGCGAUAGUAAUUGGAGAGUCAAGUCACAGUCAAUUCCAGGGAACAUCUGCACUAUUAAGAAGCUUAGACAAGCAUGUCCUCAGUCUCAUUGCACCUCCUUCAAUUGCCCCGUGUGUGGAUGCUGUCGGGAUAUGUACGAAUGCAGUUGCUUUGACUUUGCUACUGGUCAUCUAUGUAAACAUAUUCAUAAAGUAAGUGCCAUAUCUACCAGCCAUUCUACAGAUCCUGAUGAAGACACUGCAGAGAAUGAUUGUGAAGCCAAUCAUCCAAACAGCCAUCCUCAAGUUCAGGUCAAUAGUCAAAACCCAACGGUUCUUUCUGUACCAGCAGAAGACCCACAAAUAUCUUCCAAAGCAAGUGCAACACAACUCAAUUUGGUGACAACACUUUGUCACACGAUAUGCCAAAGAAUUGAACAAGGCAAUUUUAACAUUAUGAUUUGCCAAAUGUACUGUCUCACCUCAAACAAGCAGAAUUAACAAGCAGACUUGAUC